rnacentral:rRNA from 1 species
AUUGAACGCUGGCGGCAUGCCUUACACAUGCAAGUCGAACGGCAGCACGGGAGCAAUCCUGGUGGCGAGUGGCGAACGGGUGAGUAAUAUAUCGGAACGUGCCCAGUCUGGGGAUAACGUAGCGAAAGCUACGCUAAUACCGCAUACGAUCUAUGGAUGAAAGCGGGGGAUCGCAAGACCUCGCGCGAUUGGAGCGGCCGAUAUCAGAUUAGGUAGUUGGUGAGGUAAAGGCUCACCAAGCCGACGAUCUGUAGCUGGUCUGAGAGGACGACCAGCCACACUGGGACUGAGACACGGCCCAGACCUCCGUACGGGAGGCAGCA